CCAACAUGCAGCUCCCAUUUUAUCUCUAUCUCCAUGAAUAGUCUAAGUACCUCACAAAAGUGAGAUAAUCUAGUUCUUCCUUUGUUAUACAUCUGCCUUAUUCAGCUUAGCAUAGUGUCCUCCACGUUCAUUUAGAUGGUAAUAUGUAUCGGAAUUACUCUCCUCUAUAAAGUUACACAGUCUUCCAAGGAUACAGUUGCAUACAUGGAUGCCUCAGGUCAUUCCACCUUUUCUGUUGUGAAGAGGGCUGGAUCAGAAUUCACGACAUUCUUUUUGACUCCUUCAACAAACCAGACUGUGCUGACAAGUGCUGUUGUGGAUUGAAUUGUAUCCUCCAAAACACCGGGUGUUCUUGUCUCACUCCUGUCUUCAUUUAUGAAUGGGAUCUUUUAAGAAACAACUCCUCGAUCUACUCGUGACAAACGGAAAAGGAAAAUAUUCCAUCCAGCAUGGACCUUAAUAUACCUACAUGUGGUAGCUGUCAGCUGUGUGUGAACCUGUCCAGCAAAGAGCAGCCCUUGUACUGCAAAUGUUGGUUAUGCAGCAUCUGUGUAGAAUGUCUGAGCAACACUCCUGUUGAUUACA